AGCGAACGCUGGCGGCAGGCCUAACACAUGCAAGUCGAACGAACUCUUCGGAGUUAGUGGCGGACGGGUGAGUAACACGUGGGAACGUGCCUUUAGGUUCGGAAUAACUCAGGGAAACUUGUGCUAAUACCGAAUGUGCCCUUCGGGGGAAAGAUUUAUCGCCUUUAGAGCGGCCCGCGUCUGAUUAGCUAGUUGGUGAGGUAAAGGCUCACCAAGGCGACGAUCAGUAGCUGGUCUGAGAGGAUGAUCAGCCACAUUGGGACUGAGACACGGCCCAAACUCCUACGGGAGGCAGCAGUGGGGAAUCUUGCGCAAGGGGCGAAAGCCUGACGCAGCCAUGCCGCGUGAAUGAUGAAGGUCUUAGGAUUGUAAAAUUCUUUCACCGGGGACGAUAAUGACGGUACCCGGAGAAGAAGCCCCGGCUAACUUCGUG
rnacentral:rRNA from 1 species